UCAAUAGAAGGUGUGAAAAAU
rnacentral:piRNA from 1 species